rnacentral:misc_RNA from 1 species
AUACAGUCAACUCGAGAUUUAUUCAAAACAUUAUAAAGAUGUCUCCCUACUAAUCUCCAAUUUCAACAUGACCUAUGGAGAUAUACUUUUCCUGAACAUUGUCUCAAAUAAGGUGGCAAUCAAUCUCAAUAUGCUUAGUGCAUUCAUGAAACACAGGGUUAGUAGCAAUAUGAAGAGUAGCCUGAUUAUCACACUAUAACUUAACUGGCAAUGAAGACUUAAGACCAACCUCAUUCAAUAA